rnacentral:rRNA from 1 species
CGCGAAUAGCUCAUUACAACAGCUAAAAUUUACUCGAUCUUGACACAAUCCUACUUGGAUAACUGUGGUAAUUCUAGAGCUAAUACAUGCAUUAAAGCUCUGACCUUCGGGGAAGAGUGCAUUUAUUAGAACAAAACCAAGCGGCUUCGGCUGUUUUCGGUUGACUCAUAGUAACUGAGCUGAUCGCAUGGUCUUGCACCGGCGACGUGUCGUUCAAGUAUCUGCCGUAUCAACUUUCGAUGGUAGUGUAUCUGACUACCAUGGUGAUCACGCGUAACGGAGAAUAAGGGUUCGACUCCGGAGAGUUCGCCUGAGAAAUCGCGAACACAUCUAGGGAAGGCAGCAGGCGCGAAAAUUACCCACUCUCAGCACGGGGAGGUAGUGACGAAAAAUAACGAGACCGUUCUCUUAUGAGGCCGGUCAUCGGAAUGGGUACAAUUUAAACCCUUUAACGAGUAUCUAUGAGAGGGCAAGUCUGGUGCCAGCAGCCGCGGUAAUUCCAGCU